UACGGAGGGUGCAAGCGUUAUCCGGAAUCACUGGGCGUAAAGGGCGCGUAGGCGGGGAGGUAAGUCGGGUGUGAAAUCCCUCGGCCCAACCGAGGAACUGCGCCCGAGACUGCUUCUCUUGAGUCCCGGAGAGGAAGAUGGAAUUCCCGGUGUAGCGGUGAAAUGUGUAGAGAUCGGGAGGAACACCGGUGGCGAAGGCGGUCUUCUGGACGGUGACUGACGCUGAGGCGCGAAAGCGUGGGGAGCAAACGGG
rnacentral:rRNA from 1 species